CCUACGGGAGGCAGCAGUGGGGAAUAUUGGACAAUGGGGGAAACCCUGAUCCAGCGACGCCGCGUGAGUGAAGAAGUAUCUCGGUAUGUAAAGCUCUAUCAGCAGGGAAGAUGAUGACGGUACCUGACUAAGAAGCACCGGCUAAAUACGUGCCAGCAGCCGCGGUAAU
rnacentral:rRNA from 1 species